UUUUUAAAUAAGUCAUAUGAAACUAAAUUUUUGACAGAAAAGAAAUUUCUUAAAGUGCUAUAGACAUGAUUAGCAUACUUCACACCAGUAUAGUGUAGUGUCUUUGCUAUGUGGUAAUACUCAAAGACAAGAUGGAAUUCAUUUGGGGAAAUGAAGAACACAUAUUAAAAAUACUUUAGGCAGAAACUUAAAGAAGUUGUUAACAUACUAACUACUAAAAUAUUAACAUACAGUAGUAAACUUGUAGAUGUAUUACUCUUUGGCUGGUGUGUCUGGUUUGCCGCAGUGUUUGACUUUUGAAUGCUCUCCCGGGCCAGGAGUGUCAGGUGGGCUGUUAUUGUUAGUUCUUAUCGGGGUAGAUUAUGUAGGAAUGGAAGAACAGUCUUUUAGGGAUUUAUUUGACUUAGGUGUGUGGGUGUGUCCCUGUGUGCUUGUAUGUGUGGUGGUGUCCACAAAGAGCAGAGGUGUUGGGCCCCUGGAGCUGGGGUCACAGUCAUUUGUGAAAUGCCUAACAUGGGUGUUAGACAUAGACCUCAACUCUUCUGCAGGGCAGUAGCGCACCACACCCCUGAACCGUUCCUCUGACCCAAGGUCUGUGUGAUUUGUAAUGUGCUAACGUCUCUGAAAAUGAAAUGUGUGUCUCCCCGUGCACACGUUAGCUCAUGUGCAGGGCCUGUCUUCACUGCAGUAGCCCCUAAUGUUUAUUUCACAUUCUAGGUGAAACUGCCUUUCAAUGCUCAACGAAUAAUUUCGCUCUCACGAAAUGAUUUCCAGUCCUUGUUGAAAAUGCACAAACUGACCCCAGAGCAGCUGGACUGUAUCCAUGACAUCCGCAGGAGGAGCAAGAACAGGAUCGCUGCCCAGCGCUGUCGCAAGAGGAAGCUCGACUGCAUCCAGAACCUUGAGUCAGAAAUUGAGAAGCUGCAAAAUGAAAAGGAGAGCUUGCUGAAGGAGCGAGAUCACAUUUUGUCAACGCUCGGGGAGACAAAGCAGAACCUUACCGGACUUUGUCAACAAGUGUGCAAGGAAGCCGCACUGAGUCCAGAGCAGAUUCAGAUCCUCGCCAAGUACUCAGCCUCAGACUGUCCGCUUUCUUUUUUAAUUUCUGAGAAAGGAAAAAGUACUCCUGACGGCGAGCUUCCUUUUACUUCAGUUUUCAGUGUGUCUGACAUGCCUCCAACUGCACCACCUCCCUGUGGGCGAGGGAGCACCGCGGCCCGCCAGGAGCUUGUGCAGGAGUCUCAGCCAACCACCACAGCCACCCCGGAGCAGGCCACGCUGUUGGAACCCUGUCGGCAGAGUGCUGGGAUCUCAGACUUCUGUCAGCAGAUGUCUGACAAGUGUACUACUGAUGAGUAAGCCGCAGGAGUGUCCUUCAGCUCACGGAUUCCCCUCUGACGCUCUGGCAUUGUCUUGAGAGCCUAGUGUGGCUGUGUCUUAGCAGCCCUGCUUCCUCCUGGUAGCUUUCUAUUGAGGGAAUUUCUCUUUAAGGUGACCCUGAGUUCUCCUUGGUUUUCAUAGGAGACAUGACAUGCUCUAUCUCUUGAAUGAUGGGAAAUUGUGUGUGACCAGGUAAUAAUUUCCUAGUGUUCAAAGUAACUACAGCAAUAGAAGCCACAGUGUCCAUCUCAACAGCUCAAAGCAUCUGCAUGCAGUCCUCCUGCUCAGAAAAAAGAGUCCCCCUAAGCCAUACAGUGGGGAUCUCCCCAGCAGUGCAGAGCUGUAAUGUGGAAAAGAAAUCACCUUUGAACUCCAACACUCUGCUCCUCAGCUCCUACCAAAGUCCAGCAUGGGCUGGACCUGGUGACUCAGGCUGCCCUGGCCGGACCUAGUCAAAGGCCGCAGCUGGCCUGAGCUGGAGGCCUCUGCUGUCCUCAGUAUUGACUAGGAGUUUUGGUUGCACAAACUAGAAAGUGUAACGUUCCCUGCUCUCGCUUCUGUUCCUCUCUUUAGUCUCCACCUUGUCUAGGCUGUUAGAAACUUUCUGUUCCCUGACUUUUCUCGUCCCCUGGAGGAAGAAGUUGGGAUUUAGGCUGAAGCAGCCCUAGUGUGCAUGAUCUGGCCAGAACCGUCACUGCCUCUCCCUGGAGAGAGCUGCAUGAGGAUGUCGGUCAUCUCAUUGCAGGUCACUGAUGACCACGAGGGCACUGGGGUCAAGGAGAGGGAAAUGUCCACAUUGACCGGAAGAGCGGCUUAUUGGCAUCCUGUGAAGACUGUGGUGUGUAAAAAAGCUGAGUUUGGAGGCAGACAUGGCCCUGAGGCUCUGCUGGCAUUUGAAACGUUAAAAUUCCGUCUUGGUCCAUUGUGGGUUUGCACUUGAGAACCAGAUUUAAUCCUUUUAUUGUUUUUCCUAUUCCCACACUUCGUACGGUGUAAAGGCACAUACCCCAGUUUGACUUGGGCAUUGAAAGAUCAAUCUUGUGUUUAUUUAAUGUUGGUAGAAAUUGAAUUGAUAAUAAUCUGAACAGAUAAUAAUCUGUUACCCCCCGUAACAUUUUACAGUGAUUCUUAGCCAUUCUGGGACCUCACUCUGUAGACCUCAGCAGUGGAAACAAAGCCUUGUUUAUACAGGUUCAAUAUCCCUCGUCAAGGAAUGUGAGAUGCCUUAAAACUGGAGAUAUUCUCAACACCGAGCUGUGGGACAACUAGUCCUGAACUCACGAGGGAGUUUGUAGUCAAAACAGAUCAUUGAACUGAGACUUUAUAUGCCUAGGGCACAUAGGAUCUCAUUAGGACUUGGGGGAGGGUCUGUCCUCAAUCAGGGGAGAGCCUGAAUCCGCUUUGCAUCAGACGUCUCUGACAGAGGAGUCCUGGUCGCUCCUGGGAGCGCUUGUAGAGUCCUUUGUCAGGGGAACAGUCCAUAGGAUGGCAUCUCUCUGGGUCACAUACCAGAGAGAGACACUUCACUGCAUGCUGCAUCUACUGAAGGGCGGAGGGAUGGAGGAAGGGAGGGUCGGGCGGAGAGGGAGAGUGCACACUACCCUGAGUGGUAUCCAGUCAGUGGCAAGCUGAUUUUGCCAUGAGAAGAUACGGGGACCAGCAGCAAUAUUUCAUGAUUUCAUAGUUAGCAGAUAUUGCCCUUUUCCCUUGGGGUGCAGCAAGGGAGGGAGGGUAGUAUGUGUUUCAUUUUGGAAGAGAAAAUUAAAUUGGAACUAUUUUCUAGAAACUUCGAAAAGUCCACUCAGUUUGCCUGGGAGAGAGUGCUCACUGUGUGAUAAUGUAUCCCAUGUUACAAAAGAAUUUGUGUGUGUGUGUGUAUGUGUGCAUAUACACAGGCAUAUAUACAUACACACAUGUAUGCAUACAUAUAUACAUAAACAUGUAUAUAUAUGUAUGCAAACAUAUAUGUAUACACAUAUGUAUGUAUAUGUCCCCAUGCAGCUAUUUGAUACUUGUAAGUUUAGACUUCAACUUUACAUAAAAUAAUAUGAAAACUUCUCUGGUUUACAAAGUGUAAAAUCUUAUACAAGCCAAUGGAUUUCCUACCUCACUGUACACUCGGCUGUCUGUCAUCAGUUCUUGUGUGUUUGCUUUAAAUGUAAAUACUUGCUUUGGAAAGUUUCCAUUUUAUGAUAAAACCCAGUUCUCUCCUCAGUUUAAAGGUAUUUGUUUUAGACACUUGGUUUAAAUUUCUCUCUAUUCAUGAACAGUUUAGCAUUAAGGGUUAAUUUUAAUGGUGUCUGGUGAUUGGCCAAGUGUAAUAUUUUUUAAAACUCAGCAUUACUUUUAACAGCCAGCAUGUAAUACAAGUGACUACACUACCUCAUCCGUACCUUCGUGAUUUUCAAGUUGUCGUAGGUGGACAGGACAGGCUUUACUUUGUCUUUUGGCCAUAAGGUAGGUGAUAAUAGAAAUAUAUCGCAUAGCAUUAUAAACACUUAUGCCUAUUUUAACAUGAACUUCUAAAAUGUUCUCUUUGCUAAGGAAAUUUGUUUUAAGGAACUAUUUGGGGGGGGAUGGGUUGCCGAAGACAAAUGCAGGAUCAUGUGUGUGUACAACGUAUGCCUUUUCCUUCAUGCAGCACUUGGACGGGGGUUUGGUUGGCGUUUUGCAUUAUCACACAAUUGGAGCUCCUUACUGUGUGAGCCAGCCUUCUCGACGCCCGGUGAUUUUUUUUUAAAAGAUGUCAUGUCUGACUCAAUACAAUAAUGUCAUCUUAAAUUUUGGCCCCUUAUUUGAAUACUAUAGCUACAAUCAAAAUAAUUUGUUAAAUUGCUUAUAUUAAGAGUAAACAUGGAUAUGACAUUGGUUGUCCACCUGCAAACUUUAGAACAAUUUACUGUAGCUUGAUGCUUAGCCAAUUUUAAGUGAGGAAUUCAACAUCUAGGACACGGAUAGUGGAGAUGGCGUGAGGGCCCUCAGCCAUGCUAACAACUUGGAAAGAAAAGAGAGAAGCCAACGGCACCGUUACAGUGAACUCUCAGGUGAACUUUUCAGUUAUGAAAACAUCUAUUUUGAAUCUGUAAAUAUUUUAACUGUUUUAUUAAGGCAUGGACUUAACUAUUCCUUGACACCUGUUGGGUAGAAUGAAAAUUUAAAGCCAUAGUGGUAAAAGAUGGCAUACUGAUUGUAAAAUAAACAAAUAAUAAUAAUGACUUUUUUGUAUCUUUCAUAAUAUAAUUUUCUAACUGCAAUAAAACCACUGAACUUAUAUAUUCAUGUCCUAUUAAGCCCAUAUUUCAUUAGUAGUAUACCUCAUAAUAUUUAAUUUACAUUUUCUUUCUGAUGUGCUUGUCUGGAUGCGUCAGUUUAAGUCUGAGAUGGUGAUGCUAGACUGACAGUUAAAUAAAGUUCCUCUCACAGCUUUCAGUUGACUAGAGCUGUACAUUCCUGUCCCAAGGCUCAGGGCACCUCACCACGGUAGUCUUUUGAUCAGUCACUACAAGCCUGAUUAUGUGUUGAUAGGGGAGAAUUUUUAUUAAUUGAAUAUCUUAUGCCUGGGUUGGGGGAACCUCCCAGUGCUCUGGUAGAAGAAGUCGGACAGAGUUUAGUCUUGCGUUUGGGUUACAUAGUUUCAGUGUGUGGAGUGGGUGCAUGUAAAGGGUGUUUAUCAGUCAGGGUGUGAGGAAGAAUGUUAGUUGGUAAGGGGCUCACCGUGGAACUGAGUUCAAUUCUCAAAACGCACUCAUUAGAAGAGUCCAGGCAUUGCCUUGAGCCUGUGUGCCUAACAGUGACAACAUCAGGAGAGGCUGGCGCAUCUCUACGCUCUCCGACCCACCAGCCUAGCCUGCUUGGUAAGUUCCAGGCCAGUGAGGAUGCUGUCUCAACAAGUAGAGGUGGUAUCUUGAGGAACGGCAUUCUAGGUUAUCUGUGACACACACAUACACACAAAUGCAUGUGUGAACAUGUGUGUGCACACAACACAGUCACACAGAAGUAUUCUCAGAUCUGCUCCUCAUCAAAGACUUGAGAGCUGAGCUCUGGCUGUCUGCUUCACUUUGAGGCCAUCCACGGCCACA
rnacentral:lncRNA from 14 species